rnacentral:rRNA from 1 species
GACGAACGCUGGCGGCGUGCCUAAUACAUGCAAGUAGAACGCUGAAGGAGGAGCUUGCUUCUCUGGAUGAGUUGCGAACGGGUGAGUAACGCGUAGGUAACCUGCCUGGUAGCGGGGGAUAACUAUUGGAAACGAUAGCUAAUACCGCAUAAGAGUAGAUGUUGCAUGACAUUUGCUUAAAAGGUGCAAUUGCAUCACUACCAGAUGGACCUGCGUUGUAUUAGCUAGUUGGUGGGGUAACGGCUCACCAAGGCGACGAUACAUAGCUGACCUGAGAGGGUGAUCGGCCACACUGGGACUGAGACACGGCCCAGACUCCUACGGGAGGCAGCAGUAGGGAAUCUUCGGCAAUGGACGGAAGUCUGACCGAGCAACGCCGCGUGAGUGAAGAAGGUUUUCGGAUCGUAAAGCUCUGUUGUAAGAGAAGAACGAGUGUGAGAGUGGAAAGUUCACACUGUGACGGUAUCUUACCAGAAAGGGACGGCUAACUACGUG